CCAAUAGCGUAUAUUAAAGUUGUUGCAGUUAAAAAGCUCGUAGUUGAAUUUUGGAUUCUACCAAUUGGUCCAUCUUUUAGAUGAGUACUGGUUGUGUGGGGUCUAUCCGCCUGGUGAUACGUAAUGUCCUUUAUUGGAUGUUGCGGGUAGUCAGGACCUUUACCUUGAAAAAAUUAGAGUGUUUAAAGCAGGCUUAUGCCGGAAUACAUUAGCAUGGAAUAAUAGAAUAGGACGAAGUUGUUUUAUUUUGUUGGUUUCUAGGACAACCGUAAUGAUUAAUAGGGAUAGUUGGGGGCAUUAGUAUUCAAUUGUCAGAGGUGAAAUUCUUGGAUUUAUUGAAGACUAACUACUGCGAAAGCAUUUGCCAAGGAUGUUUUCAUUAAUCAAGAACGAAAGUUAGGGGAUCGAAGACGAUCAGAUACCGUCGUAGUCUUAACCAUAAACUAUGCCGACUAGGGAUCGGGCGAUGUUGUUUCCAUGACUCGCUCGGCACCUUAUG
rnacentral:rRNA from 1 species